GUUAUUAGGGAAGAACAUAUGUGGAUGAACGSUGGCGGCGUGCCUAAUACAUGCAAGUCGAGCGAACAGACGAGGAGCUUGCUCCUCUGACGUUAGCGGCGGACGGGUGAGUAACACGUGGAUAACCUACCUAUAAGACAGGGAUAACUUCGGGAAACCGGAGCUAAUACCGGAUAACAUGUUGAACCGCAUGGUUCAACAGUGAAUGACGGUCUUGCUGUCACUUAUAGAUGGAUCCGCGCCGCAUUAGCUAGUUGGUAAGGUAACGGCUAACCAAGGCAACGAUGCGUAGCCGACCUGAGAGGGUGAUCGGCCACACUGGAACUGAGACACGGUCCAGACUCCUACGGGAGGCAGCAGUAGGGAAUCUUCCGCAAUGGGCGAAAGCCUGACGGAGCAACGCCGCGUGAGUGAAGAAGGUCUUCGGAUCGUAAAACUCUGUUAUUAGGGAAGAACAAAUGUGUAAGUAACUAUGCAGGUCUUGACGGUACCUAAUCAGAAUGCCACGGCUAACUACGUGCCAGCAGCCGCCGUAAUACGUAGGUGGCAAGCGUUAUCCGGAAUUAUUGGGCGUAAAGCGCGCGUAGGCGGUUUUUUAAGUCUGAUGUGAAAGCCCACGGCUCAACCGUGGAGGGUCAUUGGAAACUGGAAAUCUUGAGUGCAGAAGAGGAAAGUGGAAUUCCAUGUGUAGCGGUGAAAUGCGCAGAGAUAUGGAGGAAC
rnacentral:rRNA from 1 species